AUUGAAGUAUCCUAUAGACAUCUGUAAAAAUGUGUACUGUUGAACCUCAAAGUGAAAGGCAAAUCGUGGUUGAUUCUCCCAUAAAAUGUUUACUGUGUAGAACAUGUAAGACAAAUCUAUAGCUCCAACCAUGUACCUGUGUUGUUUUAAAUGUCAUCCAUUAAUGUAUGAUAUCUGGCAGAGGUGCUCUAAAAAAGGGCACAGCAUUCUUUAGCUCUCUGUGAUCUAAUAGUUAAUCUUCAUUUAGUGUCUUUAAGCACCAGUCCAUACCAGGGGAUUGAAAGAUGAGAUGGAAAGAAUAAGUGCCCAGUGUAUCACAAGGUCAAUUAGAACAUUUCAUAAUCCUUCAGUGCCUUGCCUUGUAUUGUAUCAUAUUUACCACCUACACCAGCAAGGGAAAGUUAACUGGUUCCCAGCAGGCAACAACCACCAACAAUAUAGAAACCUUAAGUUUGUUCCAAGAAGAAGUCCAUUCAAAUAAUGGGAAAACAGAUAGCUUUAAGGAGUACAUCCAAGAUCAAAGCUCCUUUUUGUAGAACUCAGGCAAUGUUAAUAUUUAACUAAGUAAUUGUUUCUUUAUCCUGCAAAGCUGAUCAUCUCUUGUACAAGGUAAAAGAUGAAGUGAGAUGGACAUUUUAGAACAGCAGUGAUUUCUGGGAUUGAGGAAAUUUG
rnacentral:lncRNA from 1 species